CCACCGGCCCGUGGAAAGGGCACAACCCCCACGCCGCGCUUAGGGGCUCCCUCCCGCGAAAGGUCCCAGAGGACAGGACUGCUUGUUCCCCUGGUGGGCUGUGCAGAGCGCGGCGUGAGUCGCUCGUCGGGCCGACCCGGCCGGGCCUUCCCGCGCUUCCCACGCCCCGCCCACCUCCCCUCUCCUUGCCCUGGAUAAGAAUUCCCUGCAGGGAACCGGCCCCGCGUAGUGUGGCCCCCGGGAGCACGGCUAAUCCCUCGUCUUCGUCCGCUUUUCAGGGACAAGGAACGCGGAAGUUCUUUCGGUUUAGCAUGUAAGGCAAGAGCGCAGAAUCAACCUCGGGUCCCUCAGUUGACAAUCUGGCAUCUGGCAACUCCCUGUCCCGAACCGCCCUUGCUCCUCGCUUGACCUCACUCUGGUGUCCCCUCCCUCUCACGCCAUUUCCUCUCCCUCCAUUAACUGCUCUACAUUGCAAAGGGAGAGCAAAGGGGCUCUUUGAUUUGACCUUGAACUUACCUUGCCAGGAUCCUUUUGAGUCCCGCGCGUUUCAGGAGCUUUUCAAACUUUGAAUGAAGACCCACCGUGAGAAAUAGUUUACGACUCCAGGUUUUAGGAAUAGAGGAUGAUCUGCACAUGAGUUCCCAGAGACGGUUAUGCGACUUUUGAGUUGUGCCCGCAAAUAAACGAAUUUUGGAAUCUCCAAAGAUCCCCGAGUGGCCACGGUAAUGACAAGUCACAGUGAUCCCACAAGACAGAAACUUACAAAAAAUGGACCUAUAACAGACACCCAGCUGGGGUUCCAGUCAGGGGCUGCUCUCCAGCAGCAAUUUUCCAAACCAGAGGCCCCGCUGAGUAUGCACCGGACAGACGAGAGUAACUCCGUAGUUCAGACAGACAGACAGACAGACAAAAGCCCACAUAGGAAAGACAGACACCCAAAACCUGGGCCUAGGCGUCAACUGAAAAGAGGGAGGUUGGGGCAUGCGUGGCUCGCUCAGUCCAGUUAGAGCCCCAUGUUGGGUGGAGAGAUUACUUAAAAAAAAAAAAAAUCAUGAUAAUCGUGAGGUUCAGAACUGAGAGGACUCACCGGCAGAACCCCGAACCGCCUGCUUAGGCAGGUACCAUGUUCAAAUCCAACGGCAGUCCCAGAAUCGGAAUGGUACAUCGCUUCAGAUCCCCUGCUGUUCUGAUACCAUUUAUGUUGACUGAGAAAAGGAGGCAAAACUGAAAAAGAAGAAAGGCCUUCGUUUGUGAUCUCAGAAUUGCAAUUCGGGCACACAGAUUCCAGAGGCCUGAGAAGAGUGUCUUGCUCACGUGGGGAAAGCAAGAGGCUUUUAUAGGAAAGAAGCAAGUGGUCAUUACAUGAUUUAGAAAAAGAAGAGAAAAAAACCCCUGCUAUUCGGGUGCUGACCCGUGGGGUCGCUUCUGAUUACUAUUGUUUUGAUUAUUAGUGCGAUGAAACAAAACUACAAAAAAGUAGUUAACUUUACUGCCCUCAUGUAAUCCGAAUGCCACUUACUCUGUUGAAAUUUUAUGAGCAAUUGCUUGUAAAAGAAUUGCCACCUCUUGUCCCGUUGGACAGUUCCUUAGCUGGAAAGCAAAAUGGAGCUUCAAAACGGAGUCCCUUCCGUCCAGAAACUUUAUACAAUUCUACACUUUUUAAAAGAUGCUGAUUGAAAAUCACCAGAGUAAUUAUGCAAACCGCUAGGCUAUCAAUUUCAAAGGCACUCUAUUGUCACUCUCUCAUUUCUUUCCAUCCUUUUCCCUAAUCUCUCGGUGUUCUGGAGGAACAUCAUUUCUAUUUUUUUCCCCCUCUGGCCCUUACUCUACAACACACUCUCUUAUCCAUCUCUGUGUGUAUAGUUCAACCACGUUUGCUCUGGAAGGCAAUUGUCCUGUACUCUGUGUAGACAUCACUCUGGUGUUCUAUGUGAUGCCUGCGUAUAGAAAUGCUGGACUUCAUAACUACUGAUAAACUGGCCUGCUUAGGAGAGGAGGGCAGAUGAAUCAGUAUUUCUGAAUUUCCUGGAAGAAGACACAGAGAGGCAUUCAGGCAGAUGUAAAGGAAGUAGGCUAACUGGCCUCUGAAUACCAUGAAAGGCAUUAAUUAAAUGAUAUAGAUAAGGAUUUCCUUGAUUCUGGAAGGCAGUAAAAAGGAAGCCACCAAACCUACCAUAUCAAUCCAUUAAAAAACAAACAAACAAACAAAAGUGACCGGGGCACCUGGGUGGCUCAGUUGGUUAAGUGGCCAACUUUGGCUCAGGUCACGCGGUCCCAUGGUGCGUGAGUUCCGAGCCGCACAUCGGGCUCUCUGCU